rnacentral:rRNA from 1 species
UACAGAGGGUGCAAGCGUUGUUCGGAAUUAUUGGGCGUAAAGGGCGCGUAGGCGGUUCGGCAAGUCUCUAGUGAAAUCUCAGGGCUCAACUCUGAGUCUGCUGGGGAAACUGCCGGGCUUGAGUGUGGGAGAGGAGAGUGGAAUUCCCGGUGUAGCGGUGAAAUGCGUAGAUAUCUGGAGGAACACCGGUGGCGAAGGCGGCAUCCUGGACCGACACUGACACUGAGGAGCGAAAGCCAGGGGAGCAAACGGG